UACGAAGGGUGCAAGCGUUACUCGGAAUUACUGGGCGUAAAGCGUGCGUAGGUGGUUUGUUAAGUCUGUUGUGAAAUCCCCGGGCUCAACCUGGGCACUGCAGUUGAAACUGGCAAGCUAGAGUAGGGUAGAGGGGUGUGGAAUUCCAGGUGUAGCGGUGAAAUGCGUAGAUAUCUGGAGGAACAUCAGUGGCGAAGGCGACACCCUGGACUCAUACUGACACUGAGGUGCGAAAGCGUGGGGAGCAAACAGG
rnacentral:rRNA from 1 species